CCUACGGGAGGCUGCAGUGGGGAAUAUUGCACAAUGGGGGAAACCCUGAUGCAGCAACGCCGCGUGAGCGAUGAAGGCCUUCGGGUCGUAAAGCUCUGUCCUAAGGGAAGAAUACUGACGGUACCUUAGGAGGAAGCCCCGGCUAACUACGUGCCAGGAACCGCGGUAUGACCUAGGGGGCUAGCGAUAUCCGGGAUUACUGGGCGUAAAGGGUGCGGAGGCGGCCGUUGAAGGCAGAGGGUAAAGGGUACGGGUGAACCGGAGGAAGCCUUUGAAACUGUAGGGCCUGAGUGCAGGAGAGGGGAGUGGAAUUCCCAGUGUAGCGGUGAAAUGCGUAGAGAUUGGGAGGAACACCAGUUGCGAAGGCGGCUCUCUGGACUGUAACUGGCGCUGAGGCACGAAAGCGUGGGGGGCGAACAGGAUUAGAUACCCUAGUAGUC
rnacentral:rRNA from 1 species